ensembl:lncRNA
UAGAAGUCGCCAAAUGACGUCAUCGCCUAAUUUGCAUAAUUGGUCAUGCUAAUCUAAUUGUAACCUACGUUGUUGGAGAGAGAAAUAACAUCGUGGAAGACACAUAAAGUGAGUAAAAAACGUCCUAAAUGCAGUUAGAAUUUAUUUAGAACUACAAGUUAAAUUUAAGUUUUUUAAUGUCACAAUUCCAACCCUGCUCCUUUAUCCGGGCCUGGACCAGCAAAAAAUUGGCACUCUGGUGGAGUUACUUUGUGUGUGAGAGUGUGUGUUUAUAAGUAGUUUUAAACCUUGUGAUCCACAAAACAGCAUAACAGUAAAAGAACUGACUGCGUUACAGUCAGUGCGGGAGCAGCGGCUUCGCUCAUGCGCGAUUCAUUUGCCUUUUGGACGCACAGGUGUGAACAUCUCCUGCCCUGAUAGCAGCUGGGGGAGGACUAUCCUCCGCCUGGGAGCGCUUUGGCAUGGGUGAGGUGCCCACCGCAGCACCGCUGCUUAUUGAGAGUAAGAGCGAUACGCGUUUUCACGUCAAAAAGUCAUCAUAAAUAAGUCUCCAAUAACACCAGAAAAAGUCACCAGAUUUGUCACUAGUCGCUUUUUAGAAAAAAAGUCGCUAAGGGGGUCUGAAAACUCGCUAAAUAUAGCGACAAAGUCGCUAAGUUGGCAAUACUGAGUGUAACUACCGCCACUCCCCCCCCUUCCCAGCGCAAAGCACAAGGCUCGCAUGCAGAGUGAAGCGGAAAAAAGUGCAAGAGAGAGGGUGAGAGAAAGAAAAAAAAAAAAAACAACCCAUGGCUCGCGAUAAGGAGCCGGCUCGCGUCGUUCACGUCAAAGAUCUAAGAGCCGUUUCGUUCGCAACCGACACAUCACUACAAAGAGUGCAUGGUUGAGACAGCAGGUAUCUUGUGUCCUGAGAGAAGAACAAAUUUGAAAAAAUUAGAUUACCAGGCAGGACAGUGACUCGCCUUGUAGAGCUAAUCGACGAAGACUUAGCUAGCAAGCUAAACAAAAAAGUCAUUUACCUUAUAUUCCUUGGCACUGGAUGAAAGUAAUG